AUUGAACGCUGGCGGCAUGCCUUACACAUGCAAGUCGAACGGUAACGCGGGGCAACCUGGCGACGAGUGGCGAACGGGUGAGUAAUGCAUCGGAACGUGCCCAGUAGUUGGGGAUAGCCCGGCGAAAGCCGGAUUAAUACCGCAUACGACCUACGGGUGCAAGCGGGGGACCGUAAGGCCUCGCGCUAUUGGAGCGGCCGAUGGCAGAUUAGGUUGUUGGUGGGGUAAAAGCCUACCAAGCCGACGAUCUGUAGCUGGUCUGAGAGGACGACCAGCCACACUGGGACUGAGACACGGCCCAGACUCCUACGGGAGGCAGCAGUGGGGAAUUUUGGACAAUGGGGGCAACCCUAAUCCAGCCAUGCCGCGUGCGGGAAGAAGGCCUUCGGGUUGUAAACCGCUUUUGUCAGGGAAGAAACGCUCUGGGCUAAUACCCCGGGGUAAUGACGGUACCUGAAGAAUAAGCACCGGCUAACUACGUGCCAGCCGCCGCGGUAAGAC
rnacentral:rRNA from 1 species